UACAGAGGUCUCAAGCGUUGUUCGGAUUCAUUGGGCGUAAAGCGCACGUAGGCGGUUUGCUAAGUCAGGGGUGAAAUCCUGGAGCUCAACUCCAGAACUGCCUUUGAUACUGGCGAUCUUGAGUCCGGGAGAGGUGAGUGGAACUGCGAGUGUAGAGGUGAAAUGCGUAGAUAUUCGCAAGAACACCAGUGGCGAAGGCGGCUCACUGGCCCGGUACUGACGCUGAGGUGCGAAAGCGUGGGGAGCAAACAGG
rnacentral:rRNA from 1 species